rnacentral:lncRNA from 1 species
CUGGGGAGACUAGAUCGAUAGGGCUGCACAGAGGUGGCACAGUUGUGCCAGAGGUGCCACUUCGGAUAAACCCUUUGGACUCCUAACUCCAAUCAGGUGUCUGCUUUGUUGAGGACUCACAGACACAGUCUCCUUUCUUCAAGAUCUUUACAAUGCAAGACCUCACUAACACACAGGGAUGGUCUCCCAGAGGGUCUGUGCUGUUCCUUCACUCAGAACAUCAAGAUGCACUGAAGUAAGGAUCCUCUAUUCUACAGUUCCUGCUAGCUGAGCUAUUCCAUGGGGGCUUCAGCAGGAAAUUCCAAGGUUGGCUUUGACAAGCUAAGGCCGGCUGGUGGAGCACAUCGAGUUCUGGAGGUUCAUGUGUGUUUUCAUGAAGAUCUGUCUGCCCGUAGCAGAUAAAGAGUUGUUGCCCCACUCCUCCUGGGGUCUUCUAUUUUCCUGGGAGGAAUUUCUGGAUUAACUGAACACACACACACACACACACACCCUUUUGAAGCAUCAACAGUAAUUCUGAGUUCUUAGGGACAAUGCAGAUUAAAUCCACAAUAAGAAAGACAACUAUGGCCAGGUGUGGUGGCUCACGCCUGUAAUCCCAGAACUUUGGGAGGCUGAGGCGGAUGGAUCACCUGAGGUCAGGAGUUAGAGACCAACCUGACCAACAUGGAGAAACCCCGUUUCUACUAAAAAUGCAAAAUUAGCCGGGCAUGGUGGCAGGCGCCUGUAAUCCCAAAUACUCGGGAGGCUGAGGCAGGAGAAUCACUUAAACCCGGGAGGCAGAGGUUGCAGUGAGCCAAGAUCGCGCCAUUGCACUCCAGCCUGGGCAAGAAGAGCAAAACUCCAUCUCAAAAAAAAAAAAAGAGUACUAUUGAUCCAGAGGUGACCAGACUAGCCUCACUGGAGAUAAUAGGUGACAUUAUUAUGCAAAGUGGUUUCAGUUCCCUUGUCUUGUUUUUGGAAUAGUAUAAGAGGCCUACAAUACGAAUAAAUAAGGCCCAUCACAAGCCUCACCAAAGGACAAAACUAAUCCACUUCUGAAGAAGGCUCUUUGUUGGGCCAGAUCAAAUCCUUGGACAGAACUGUACUCUUAAUCUCUGUAGUGAAAGUGGGGGGUAGUUUAAGAAUUUAUUAACCUUCUACCUUGAGCAAUCCCUCAGAAGUAAGAGGUGUCAGGCCUCUGAGCCGAAGCUCAGCCAUUGUAACCCCUGUGACCUGCACAUAUAUGUCCAGAUGGCCUGCAGGAGCCAAGAAGUCUGGGGCAGCUGAAAAACCACACAAGAAGUAAAACAGCCAGUUCCUGCCUUAACUGAUUAACCAACAUUACAACAUUCCACCAUUGUGACCUGUCCCUGUCCUACCUUAACUGAUCAAUCGACCUUGUGACAGUCUUCUUCUGGACAAUGGGUCUUAUCAUCUCCCCACCAUGUACCUUGUGACCCCCUCCUCUGCUAACAAUAGAUAACCACUUUUUACUGUAAUUUUCCAUUACCUACCCAACUCCUAUAAAGCAACCCCUUCCCCAUCUCCCUUCACUGACUCUGUUUUCAGACUCAGCCCACUUGCACUCAAGUGAAUAAACAGCCUUGUUGCUCACACAAAGCCUGUUGGUGGUCUCUUCACACAGAUGUGCUUGACAAAAGGGAAGGGUGGAUUUGUCCUUCUGGUUACAUAUGUUCUGCUCACUCAUUUUGAAUUUAAUUAAACAAGGAUUGCCCUUACCUUUUCAUACUUUGUAAGAAACCAUAAAUACUUAUGCACCAUGAUUUUUUUAAAGAAACACUUUUUAUUUUGAAGUAAUUAUAGUCUCAUAGGAAGUUGCAAAAGUAGUACAUAGAGUCCCUGAGUACUCUUCCCCCAGUGGUGACAACUGUAGUAUAAUAUCAAUUCUGGGAAAUUGACAUUGGUACAAUACCAAAUAUACUAUGCCUUUUUCUCUAAGGCAUGAUGUUGCAGUAGCAUCCUUGUACAUGUAGCUAGGAGAACUUGUACUAAGCCCAGAUAAAUAGUUGAAGUACAAGGGCAAGGAGUGUGUCUUUGAUAUUUUAAUAGAAAUCACCUAUUGCCCUCUAGAAAAGCUGUACCCUUUUCCAGUGGCAGAGAACCUUCCUGAAAGGCAGUCCUGUGUAAUGGUGUCCAUUUCAUCACACCCUUAAAACACUCAGCUUUAACAAACAUGCAGAUUUUUGCUGAUGUGGGAGAAAAUAUUAAUUAUUAAUGAUAUUAAGGUGAUUAUCUUUUCGUAUGUUUAUAGAUAUUUGUAUUUCUUUUUAAAUGAACUGCUCAUGACCUUUGUCUACUUUUAUUUGGGUUUACUUCUUUCUCAUUUAUUCCUAUAAACUCUUUAUAAAAGGAAAUUAACCAUUUGAUUGUCAUAUGUUGUGAAUAUUUUUACCAUUUUGACUUUUGAAUUUAUGUCUUUUUAAUGAAUUGUAGAAGUUUAAAAUCUUUAUGGAAUAAAUUUAUUUAGUUUUUUGUU